AGGGAUAUUACCGAGUUUCAACUCCCAAACCCCUGUGAACAUACCACUUGUUGCCUCGGCGGAUCAGCCCGCUCCCGGUAAAACGGGACGGCCCGCCAGAGGACCCCUAAACUCUGUUUCUAUAUGUAACUUCUGAGUAAAACCAUAAAUAAAUCAAAACUUUCAACAACGGAUCUCUUGGUUCUGGCAUCGAUGAAGAACGCAGCAAAAUGCGAUAAGUAAUGUGAAUUGCAGAAUUCAGUGAAUCAUCGAAUCUUUGAACGCACAUUGCGCCCGCCAGUAUUCUGGCGGGCAUGCCUGUUCGAGCGUCAUUUCAACCCUCAAGCACAGCUUGGUGUUGGGACUCGCGUUAAUUCGCGUUCCUCAAAUUGAUUGGCGGUCACGUCGAGCUUCCAUAGCGUAGUAGUAAAACCCUCGUUACUGGUAAUCGUCGCGGCCACGCCGUUAAACCCCAACUUCUGAAUGUUGACCUCGGAUCAGGUAGGAAUACCCGCUGAACUUAAGCAUACAUA
rnacentral:sRNA from 1 species